rnacentral:rRNA from 1 species
GACAGAGGCCUCGAGCGUUAGGCGGAAUCACUGGGCUUAAAGCGUGUGUAGGCGGAUCGUUAAGUGCCUUGUGAAAUCCCACGGCUUAACUGUGGAACGGCUGGGCAUACUGGCGGUCUUGAGCCAUCUAGGGGCGACUGGAACAAACGGUGGAGCGGUGAAAUGCGUAGAUAUCGUUUGGAACGCCAAUGGUGAAAACAGGUCGCUGGGGAUGAGCUUACGCUGAGACACGAAAGCCAGGGGAGCAAACGGG